rnacentral:rRNA from 1 species
CCUACGGGUGGCUGCAGUCGAGAAUCUUCGGCAAUGAGCGCAAGCUUGACCGAGCGACGCCGCGUGCGGGAUGAAGGCCUUCGGGUUGUAAACCGCUUUGGUCCGAGAGAAAGGGCAACUUGAUCGAUCGGAGAAACAAGGACGGGCUAAGUUCGUGCCAGCAGCCGCGGUAAGACGAACCGUCCAAACGUUAUUCGGAAUCACUGGGCUUAAAGGGCGCGUAGGCGGCCGAGCGGGUCGCGGGUGAAAUCCCCCAGCUUAACUGGGGAACUGCC